rnacentral:lncRNA from 1 species
AAGAGCGAGACUUCAUCUCAAAAACAAACAGGAAACCUGUCAGAUCAUGUGCAAGAAGUAAGCGAAGUGGUGAGAACUGGGUGGGGGAGACACAGCCCUCGACACAGGGAGAGCACCCCGUGCGGGAGGAGCCUUCAGUACAAGAGACUUGGUCUGCCAUCAAGUGGCUCUCUGCACUGUUGACAAUUGUCAGUCAUUUAAGACAGAGGAGGCCGGGCAUGGUGACUCAUGCCUGUUAUCCCAGCAUUUUGGGAGGCCAAAGCAAGUGGAUCACUUCAGGCCUGCAGUUCGAGACCACCUGGGACAACAUGGUUCAUUCACCUGUUGCCAACAACAUGAGGGAGUUUCUCCACAGCCCUUGAUUCCUGAAUUGUUCAACAAAUCAACAGUCACCAAUACAUUGACUUAAGGAGUAAACAAGCAGCUUUUCUCUACACACCACCGGGCACCCCAGGAAGGCGCAGCUCCCUGCUCCACGACCGCCUCUUGGUGCCUGUAUCCAGCAGAAGGACCCAGCAGGAGGCUGAAUCCAAGCACUGCUCUCAGGCCACUCUAUCCUCAUCCCUGGAUCCUCCAGGGAACAAGAUAAAAAAAAAAAAA